AUCUACGAGUAGUGGGUCAUUCCGCUUAUGGUUCGAUGAAGACCUCAACCAGCUGCGAGACUUGGUGUGAAUUGCAGGACACAUUGACCACUGAUUUUUCGAACGCGCAUUGCGGCCUCUUGUGUCUGAGUGACG
rnacentral:rRNA from 1 species